rnacentral:ncRNA from 2 species
UAGAUUAAGCCAUGCAAGUGUUAGUUCAGGUAACGAAACUGCGAAUAGCUUAUUAAUACGCUCAGAAUCUAUUUGGCGGCGACCAACAGGUCUUAAAUGGAUAGCAGCAGCAACUCUGGUGCUAAUACAUGCGAUUGUUUCUCCAGAUGUGAAUUAUGGAGGAAAAGUUGACCUCAUCAGAGGCACGCCAUUCGACUGAGUGACCUAUCAGCUUGUACUUAGGGUCUUUACCUAGGUAGGCUAUCACGGGUAACGGGCGGUUACCGUCGGACUGCCGGAGAAGGCGCCUGAGAGAUAGCGACUAUAUCCACGGGUAGCAGCAGGCGCGAAACUUUCCCACUCGAGACUUUCGGAGGAGGUAAUGACCAGUUCCAUUGGUGCCUUUUGGUACUGUGGAUAGGGGUACGGUUUUCCACCGUACCGAAACCUAGCAGAGGGCCAGUCUGGUGCCAGCAGCUGCGGUAAUUCCAGCUCUGCGAGUUUGCUCCCAUAUUGUUGCAGUUAAAACGCCCGUAGUCUGAAUUGGCCAGCAAUGGUCGUACGUAUUUUUACGUUCACUGUGAACAAAUCAGGACGCUUAGAGUAUGGCCACAUGAAUGACUCAGCGCAGUAUGAAGUCUUUGUUUUCUUCCGAAAACAAGCUCAAUGAGAGCCAUCGGGGGUAGAUCUAUCUCAUGACGAGUGGUGGAAUACUUUGACUCAUGAGAGAGAAGCUGAGGCGAAGGCGUCUACCUAGAGGGUUUCUGUCGAUCAAGGGCGAGAGUAGGAGUAUCCAACAGGAUUAGAGACCCUGGUAGUUCCUACCUUAAACGAUGCCGACAGGAGUUUGUCAUUUGUUAAUGGCAGAAUCUUUGGAGAAAUCAUAGUUCUUGGGCUCUGGGGGAACUACGACCGCAAGGCUGAAACUUG